rnacentral:rRNA from 1 species
CCAGACUCCUACGGGAGGCAGCAGUGGGGAAUAUUGGACAAUGGACCAAGAGUCUGAUCCAGCAAUUCUGUGUGCACGAUGAAGUUUUUCGGAAUGUAAAGUGCUUUCAGUUGGGAAGAAAAAAAUGACGGUACCAACAGAAGAAGUGACGGCUAAAUACGUGCCAGCAGCCGCGGUAAUACGUAUGUCACGAGCGUUAUCCGGAUUUAUUGGGCGUAAAGCGCGUCUAGGUGGUUAUGUAAGUCUGAUGUGAAAAUGCAGGGCUCAACUCUGUAUUGCGUUGGAAACUGUAUAACUAGAGUACUGGAGAGGUAAGCGGAACUACAAGUGUAGAGGUGAAAUUCGUAGAUAUUUGUAGGAAUGCCGAUGGGGAAGCCAGCUUACUGGACAGAUACUGACGCUGAAGCGCGAAAGCGUGGGUAGCAAACAGGAUUAGAUACCCUGGUAGUCCACGCCGUAAACGAUGAUUACUAGGUGUUGGGGGUCGAACCUCAGCGCCCAAGCAAACGCGAUAAGUAAUCCGCCUGGGGAGUACGUACGCAAGUAUGAAACUCAAAGGAAUUGACGGG